CAUUAGGGUGGUAGAAGGGGGGGUGUCACAAAGGCCCAUUUUUAGUCCCUUUGCUGUUCAGCAUCAUCUUGUCCAAACUCUUCUUGGUCACAGAUGAUGCUGCAGACUAUGAGAACAGCUCAGCAAUAUACACAUGGCAACUCCAUCAAGCAGAAGCUCUGCAGACAGAAAGCCUGGAUGAUGAGCCAGACUAUGUCAAUGCAGCUCCUGCAUCAGGCCCUGCCCCGCUGUCAAAGCAAAGUACUCUGUGUAAAGCCUGAAGAAGUCCUUAGCUGAGCUGUAGGAGCACAUCAGUGAGCACACAAGGGGUUUUCCAUCCCUCAGAGGAGUCUCUUC
rnacentral:lncRNA from 14 species